UGGGGAAUUUUGGACAAUGGGCGAAAGCCUGAUCCAGCAAUGCCGCGUGUGUGAAGAAGGCCUUCGGGCUGUAAAGCACUUUUGUCCGGAAAGAAAUCCUUGGCUCUAAUACAGUCGGGGGAUGACGGUACCGGAAGAAUAAGCACCGGCUAACUACGUGCCAGCAGCCGCGGUAAUACGUAGGGUGCAAGCGUUAAUCGGAAUUACUGGGCGUAAAGCGUGCGCAGGCGGUUUGCUAAGACCGAUGUGAAAUCCCCGGGCUCAACCUGGGAACUGCAUUGGUGACUGGCAGGCUAGAGUAUGGCAGAGGGGGGUAGAAUUCCACGUGUAGCAGUGAAAUGCGUAGAGAUGUGGAGGAAUACCGAUGGCGAAGGCAGCCCCCUGGGCCAAUACUGACGCUCAUGCACGAAAGCGUGGGGAGCAAACAGGAUUAGAUACCCUGGUAGUCCACGCCCUAAAACGAUGUCAACUAGUUGUUGGGGAUUCAUUUCCUUAGUAACGUAGCUAACGCGUGAAGUUGACCGCCU
rnacentral:rRNA from 1 species